UGGGGAAUAUUGCGCAAUGGGCGAAAGCCUGACGCAGCCACGCCGCGUGGGUGAUGAAGGCCUUCGGGUUGUAAAGCCCUGUCGGGAGGGAAGAAGUUCUGACGGUACCUCCCAAGAAAGCACCGGCUAACUCCGUGCCAGCAGCCGCGGUAAUACGGAGGGUGCGAGCGUUGCUCGGAAUCACUGGGCGUAAAGCGUACGCAGGCUGUUUCGUAAGUCGGGUGUGAAAGCCCGGGGCUCAACCCCGGAAUUGCGCCCGAGACUGCGGAGCUUGAAUGCGGGAGAGGGAAGCGGAAUUCCUGGUGUAGAGGUGAAAUUCGUAGAUAUCAGGAGGAACACCGGUGGCGAAAGCGGCUUCCUGGCCCGACAUUGACGCUCAUGUACGAGAGCGUGGGGAGCAAACAGG
rnacentral:rRNA from 1 species